UACGGAGGGAGCUAGCGUUGUUCGGAAUUACUGGGCGUAAAGGGCGCGUAGGCGGAUAGUUUAGUCAGAGGUGAAAGCCCAGGGCUCAACCCUGGAAUAGCCUUUAAUACUGGAUAUCUUGAGUUCGGGAGAGGUGAGUGGAACUCCGAGUGUAGAGGUGAAAUUCGUAGAUAUUCGGAAGAACACCAGUGGCGAAGGCGACUCACUGGCCCGAUACUGACGCUGAGGCGCGAAAGCGUGGGAGCAAACAGG
rnacentral:rRNA from 1 species